rnacentral:sRNA from 1 species
UAGUAAACAAUGUCAACUACCUACUUCC